AGCAGGCUCCAGUGAGAAUGAGGAGCGUGUCUUCAGGCAGCGUCUCGGCCCCAGGAAGCGUCAGGGCGCCGUCAGGAGGAGAGUCCACCAGGUCAACGGACACAAGUUCAUGGCAACGUUCCUCAGACAGCCCACCUACUGUUCUCACUGCAGGGACUUCAUCUGGGGCGUCUUAGGAAAACAGGGCUACCAGUGUCAAGUUUGCACCUGUGUGGUCCAUAAACGCUGCCAUGAACUGAUCAUCACUAAGUGUGCAGGGAUGAAGAAGCAGGAGGACACAGUGGAGGAG